rnacentral:rRNA from 1 species
UACGUAGGGUGCAAGCGUUGUCCGGAUUUAUUGGGCGUAAAGAGCUCGUAGGCGGCUUGUCGCGUCGACUGUGAAAACCCGCGGCUCAACCGUGUGGCGGGCAGUUGAUACGGGCAGGCUAGAGUUCGGUAGGGGAGACUGGAAUUCCUGGUGUGAGCGGUGAAAUGCGCAGAUAUCAGGAGGAACACCGGUGGCGAAGGCGGGUCUCUGGGCCGAUACUGACGUGAGGAGCGAAAGCGUGGGGAGCGAACAGG